AGCAAGAAAAUUGCCUGUGAAGUUACGUAUAUGCCCUUGGUUUACACAUAAUUUCAAUAGUACCCUAGCCCAAAUAGUGUUGUGCAUAUGUUAGUGCAGGCCGCAACCGUUGAGCUAUCCUCUGCGAUGCCUUCACCUAACGAUCACUCCAACUCCUUCCUCAAGCGAUCAACCUUUUCUGCUGUUCUAGCUUCUCCCUUCCAUCUAUUGCCACUAAUCUUAUCAAACAUCAACGUCAGGAAGGCAGUUUAUCUGGUCUUUGUGGUUAUCUAGGCCAAAAUUAUACACCCCGAGCACUAUUUUUGCAUAGAGAUUUUAUCAUGAUUUCUUAGUUUUUAUGUUGAUUAUGUUUCGGCAGAACUAAAUAACUGUGUUUUAUAAUUUUAAGCUACUAGAGGUUGCUACUAUAUUGUACGGGGUGUGAGUAUUGCACCAGCAGUCUAAUCUCUUUCAAAGAAAGGCGAGAUAACAAAGUGAGUUUUGCUAGGCAAUGAUCCAAUUCUCAAGCUUGUUUUAUGAGUCCGUUGGAUCAGAAUUUGUAUAAACUGUCGAUUUUGAAAGACGCGCCCUGAGGUGAGGAUUUUUAAAAAGGAGCAUGUUCCUGAGACUGAGUCAAAGGUCCGAGUUUUAACCGCGGACACCUCACCUAACGGUAUACAGGGAAUGCUGUAGUGCUUUAAUCUGGUGAUUGCGGUCGACAAGGCGGACGUGGAGACCGAAGCAUACAGACACAUAUGCGCAUUAACACAGUUGGUGACGAAAUUGGAUCUUGUGAACUAGGGUUUUACAUCCAUCAUCGCCAUUCGGAGCUCCAGUUAGUCGAGAAAUAUGGCAUCAUCUGAUAGUGAACUUUGUAUUUGUUCCAAAAUAAAAAGCUUGUGAAGAAUCCAUUCCCUCCCUAUUGGCCAUGUGGAUGUGAAAACGAAGAUGCUUCUGUGCAUGAUAUACCUGACUUUCGGAAUUCCAUAAUGAGACUAUUGCGUCUCAUUUGUUGAUUGCCCGGAGAUUGUUACAGAUGGUGCUCCAAUGAUAACAGAUUUGUACAACUGAAAUAUAACUUAGGUGCAUAUUGGUUGAGUACUGUUGCAUUCCAAUGGUGAAACGACCCAAAAUAACUGCAAUUUCUUACAUCAGAGAUUGAUGUGUCUCGCAAUUCCAAGACAUGAAGAUACUUAAUUUUGAAAGGCUAUAUUAGGACGAAAGUAAUCCGGACAAUGUUGCCUUUGCUAAAUAAGUAGGCUCUAUAUCCUUGGGGUCUCGGUCUCGGACAAUUUGCCAAUGCUUGCAAAUCUAUGAGACGAUGACUACAAAACUGGUCAGCGAUACAGAAUUGUCAAGAGGGUGGUUAUUAAAUGGAAAGUGUCUUUCAGGAAAAGCCAUGUUCGAGCAUUUGGGAGAUAGGAUUGCAAUGAUGAUCUUCCGUUUACACAGUGCUUUGAGUUAGCAAGACAAGCUAGACUCCUGCAGUACAACAACUAUGGAGAUCGUGAUCUCUAUGUCACAGGUGACUUGAGCAAAAAUGAUGUUGUCACUCAGGCCAUGAUUGUUGUUCCUCGCUGCAGGGUUUCACAACUCCGGACUAAAAAGGGGCUUACAAAGGUUUUUUACAAUGUCAGAUCAUGGCCUGCUUCUGAGGCCGAGUCCUGAGUCUUAGAAAUUUCAGAUCUUAUUAAAAGAUUUUGUUACAGCGGUGCUUGCUUUUCGGCUUUGAGUUUCUUUGCAAUUGAGACAGCCAGGAUUACACUUCUGCACCAUUAUCUUGGAUGGAAGCAGCCUUUAAAAGAUGAUCUUUGCUUAGUUGUUACACCCAAGUGAAGUGACAGUGGAUCUCUUAAGUGACGCUCAAGUUAGGGCAAUUGUUAUUUAAUCCCCGUAUGAUUUCAAUUCAUACUAUGAGAAUUGCCUUAGUUUAUAUCUAAGAGUACUGUAGCAUUUCAUUUUAACACAAAAGCCUCUUUGGCAGCAGUUUUUAUUUCUUUUCCAAUAUAAGCAAUUUUAGUUACA